UUAGCUAUGACAAUUAAUUAAUUAACGCGUCUAAAGCAAACUACGAAAGUUCAAGACAUUUUUUAUACUAGUCAAGGUAAUUAAUAUGAGGGCCAUAGAUUAUGGAUUUGUUUGCGUAUGGCGCACCUCAAUUAUUUUAAAAGAAAAGAUUUGUAUUUCGUUAAGGCCAACUAAAAUAUUCCUACUUAUAUCUAAUUUUAAAGAAAACUAAGUAUCACAACCAUGUCACGGGAACCGUACCCGCAACUACGAUGAAAUGCCGACCUGAACUGGUUAUAUGAAGAUUAUAGGCAGUGUUACAUUGCAAAACCCAUAGGAAUAAAACUUGAAGGCUUGGUUGGUUUUUACUUAUUCCUUCAAAUUACUUACACAGUUUCACUAUCCUAGUAAUAUGACCAUUAUAACUAAUGCAAGUCAAAUAUGUUGAAUUUCCUAUGAAAGCUCACGAGAUGAAAGACCUUUAUUAUGCAAAUCAUACCAAAUAGCCUCCUUACAUGGAAAAAUUCUGGACAUUAAUUUAGUUCAUGACCAAAGUAUCAGUAAUCUUUCUCCCUCAAACAAUUUAUCACAAAACUAUGGCCACUAUACAUAUAUUAUGCUUAAACAGUUAAAAGAAUAAAACCUUAGGAAUAAACUUCAAUGUAUUCCUAGUUUUAUUAAUGAAAUCACGCACACAACAAAAGCAAACAUUCGUAUUGCCACUCUCAUGUAAUUAACGAAUCCGCCCGCAAAAUUCGAGCAAAUUUCUCCAAAACAAAUAGGCACAAAAUAUUACUAUAAAAUUCAUACUCAACAAAGUUAACAAGAUAUAUACAAUUUAAUGAAAUGUGACUAAAUCACGGCCAUAAACAUCAUUGAUACUAACAAAAAGGGAACGGACCUUUGAACAAAUUGAAAUUCAACCUCAAAUCAGAAACAAAGAGCAACGAUUUCAAAUCGAACCUCGACGGCGCCGGAAAACUCUAGUUUUUAUGCUCAACGCUUCUGCUUGAUUUUCUCCCACUUCGGAUUAGCAGCAGAUGUGAGCGAAAGAAAUGGGGACAGUGAGUGUGUGUGGGUUUGUUUGCCGGGUCUACUGCUAGCGACGUCGCUGGUCAAAGGGGUCGGAUUCUGGCGGCGGCUGGUGGCUGGUUUAGUGGGAUACAAGUAACGGCUCACAUGGAGAUUAAUGGAGGUAAGGGAGUGGCGGUUGGUAUUGUUGGUCGACCAAAUCUGAUGGAUGUAACGGCCAGGGUCCUUGGUUAGCGAGGUGAAAAAUAAGAACGGAGGGGGGGGGAGUCUCUUGGUGUUAUACGACUGAUGUCCCUUUUUGUCUCCAGGGUCUAAAGUGCUGAAAUAGAUGACCUUUUAGGGUGUAACGGCUGAAGACUCAACCUUAGGUUCUAGGGUUUUUUUUUCCUUGUAUAUUAUACUAAAGUAGUAUCCAGGUUUGGGCUUUUGAGUUAAUGGGCUAAGAGAUUGGUUUAGUUGGGCUACAAGCAAGACUAAAUUAGUCCAAAAAAAAUUAAUUCUAUUCCCUCCUCCUUUUCGUAUGUAAAAAUAACAUAGCAAACAAGAUAACUAUUACAAAUACUACUUAAUCUUACUUAAGAAAAUAACUAUUAAAAUAACACUAAUCAUUUAAAACAAACCUAUUUUUUGGUAUUUUUUUCAAGAUUAAAAAUGACUACAAAACCUUAAUGAAACUAUUUUUUUGUGAGAAAAUAAGGUAAAAGGGUCAACACUAAUUAAAAUAGCGAUUUUAGGCCUAAACUAAACAUUUACAUGCUAAAAUAUGAAAAAUCUUAGGGAGAGUCAAAAAUCACAUGUCUACAGGUGUCCGUCUUUGACUUGAAACACGAUGUAUUUUCAGAAAAAGAACGACUAAACAUGUUUUUUUACCCGACCCUUAUUUGGAGAGACCAAAACUAAAAGAAAGGAGAAUGUGAUUGAGCCCUGGUAUCUAAGCUGCCUACGUAUCCUUGGCUAUAAAGGAAUCAGACCACGUGUAGUUCAGAAGUGAGUGACAUGAUGGAGUAUCCCGAGGUGGAGAGCCGAUCGAAGUGUCGUUUUGUUGAGUUUCCGGUCCACGGUUCUGUUAUUACAUCAAAAUCAAAAAAAAAUGAAAGAGACUAACUAAGCCUGUCAACUAUUAGUUACAAGAUUCCUAUCUAUAAGUCUUCUGAAACUUGAUCUUGAGUCUUGAAUGGUUCUUUAUGCAGACUUUGGAUUUGAACCUUGACGCUUGCUAGUUGCAGGUGCUAGUUCAUUCUUCUUCAGCUUUUCAGAUCAAAACCGGACAUACCAUGCUUGUGACUUCAUUCAUGUCUCGAGCAGCCCACUUCAUUCAUCAACUUCUGCAUUUGGAUUCACUUCUUGCCUUUUUUUAUAUUCUGGAUUGUGACUAACUUCCGUUGAUCAUCUCGGAUUGUUGACUCGCAUUCUUGCUGCGAGUUUCUUUUGUUGCUAACUUGAAUUGCAUUCUGAAGUGAAUUCCCUUAUUCUCCACGUAGGUUCCUGAUUGCCAAUACUCGAACUGUCUUCCUUCGAAACUUGGACUGUCUUUUCCUUAUUCUCCGGGUGGGCGCCUGAUUGUUGCAUUGUUUUUCCUUGAAACUUGAACUGUUUUCUCUUUGUUUUCCAGGUGGGUGCCUGAUUGCUGAACUUGAACUAUCUUCUUUUGAACAUUUCUGUUUUCCCUCUGUUCUCCAGGUGGGCGCCUGAUUACCAACAUUUGAAUUGUCUUCUUUUCCUCCGAAACUUGAAUUGUUUUCCAUUUGUUUUCCAGGUGGGCGCCUGAUUGCAGAACCUGAAUCGUCUUCCUUUGAACAUUGCUGCUUCCCCUUUGUUCUCUAGGUGGGCUCCUGAUUUCCAACACUUGAACUGUUUUCUCGAAAAUUGACUUGUUUUCCCUUUGUUCUCCAGUUGGGCUCCUAAUUGUUGUCUUCCUUUGUACCUUGCUGCUUUUCCUUUGUUCUCCAGGUGGGCUCCUGAUUUACAACACUUGAACUGCUUCCCUUUGUUAUCCAGGUGGGCACCUGAUUACCAAUACUUGAAUUGUUUUUCCUUUGUUCUCCAGGUGGGCUCUUGAUUUCCAACACUUGAACUGUUUUCUCUUUGUUCUCCAGGUGGGCUCCUGAUUUCCAAUACUUGAAUUGCUUUCCCUUUGUUCUCCAGGUGGGCUCCUGAUUUCCAACACUUGAACUACUUUCCUUUGAACCUGAUUAUAACAAAACAAACAAAACAAAAGAAUUCUUUCUUCCCCAGUUUGAUAUUGGGAACAUCUGCAAGUGUUAAUCGAAUCAUGGUACCCAAGAGCUCUAAGAAUUUAAAAGCUAACUCUCAUUAUCCAGGAGGGUCCUGAAAAUUAAAUCUUAUCUUAAGAGUGAAAACUUGAAAGCUAAAUUCUAUUUCUUAACGGUAAAACUUACGCUAAAACUCAUUAUCUCUGAGGGUUCUAAAAACUUAAAAUUGAAUCCCAUUAUCCAGGAAGGUCCUGACAACUUAAAACUACAUCCCAUUGUCCAGGAGGGUCCUCAACACUUAAAACUAAAUCCCAUUAUCCAAGAGGGUCCUGAAAAGCCGAGAAUGAACUUACCUGAGCCAUGCUCUCUUCUGGUUGAUCUCUGCAGAACGAACAAAAUUCUUUGCCCCUGAACCAUGCUUUUCCUCAUGGAGGGUUCCUAUUGAUCGAACAAAUUUUCUUUCCCUUCUCAAACCGCCUUUGUGCUGACAAAAUUUGGGCACGACACUUGAAAAAAAAUUCAAACUUCCAAGCUUUGAUUUGGACGCAAUUUGCGUCCCCGUUUCAAACAAAAAAAACUUGUGAAUUUAAACAUGGUGGUUGGUUUGUGUCCUUCACUUUGAGGGUGAUUGCUCCUUCACUUCCCAUGAUAACUUUGAUUUCAACUUGAAAGACCUUGCUUGUUUAUUGACUAAUCACUUUCUCUGUCACCCUUAUCACAGAAAAUACAUACUGAUCCCUUCAAACCCAACAUCCUCUCUCUGUUGCAUUUUGCUCAUUAAUUGACAUUUGCCGAAACCUUGCAUUUCACAUGAAUCCCAAAACAUGUUGAUUUUUACCAACUCAGUGCGCUUGCUAUCCUUUCUUGAUGUAUGCCACUGGCCUUGGCCUUGAGGUCUAUUGCUCCUUCACUUGCCAUUAUAACUUUGAUUUCCACUCGGAAGACUUUGCUUGUUAUUGGUUAACCACAUUCUCUGUCAACCUUAUCACAGAAAAUAACUUUGAUCCGUUUACCCAACAUCCUCUAUCUGUUGCAUUGUUCAUGAAUUGAAAUAUACCAAACCUUUGUAUUUCACAUGAAUCCCAAAGCACGCUGAUUGUUACCAACUCAGUGCGCAUGUUGUUCUUUCCUAACUUAUGCCACUUUGAUGUGCUAGCCAGAUCCCAUUUUGUGCAGUUAGAAAGCUGGUGGCAAAUUUUGAAGUCAUUUCUCACUUGCUCUGACCAAACAGACUCAGGAAGAGGAAGUAAACAAGACAAAAGGAACAGAGUAAAAGACGAUGGAAAGAGAUGAUUCCUAACAGCAAAACUACAAGGUAGAAACUUAUCAUAUGUAGAUACCAACUCUAAUGACCAUGACAUGCACUUGUGGCCUAAUCUAUCAAGCAAGUCUGAUGUUCAACUCUUGUUAUACCCCUAAACCGUGAAACUCGGCUUCAAUGCUCUGAUUAUCCAAUCUAAUUCACGAUCCUUAUUCGACUUGUAGUGCCUAAAGGGUUUUCACCAUCAAGCCUCUCUCAUUUUGUUCUCUCUCUCAACUUACCGUCGCCUUAUGGUGCCUAUGAAAGUUUUCACCGAUAAGACUCUCAUUUUUUCUUAUCUUCUUCUUUUCUCCAGUUCUGUAGAUGACAAGGCAUUGAGCAUAGUAAAAAAAAUUAUACGCUCCUGGCAUGGCUAACUCAGCACUCUCAAAGAUUAUCUGGGAGGUCUUUUUGGAUCGUAAUGUGGCUUUUGGACAGGGUUCGAAAGGAAGGAUAUCACAAAGGCUCAAAACAACUAAGAUAACAGGGUUAAUUUAUUUACAAUUUUUGGAAUCCAUUUUAAAAACUCUGUCCCAAUUUCUAAAACAUGGGAGUUUGAAUAUAUUUUUCCCUUUUUUUUCUUUUUUUUCUUUUGAAUUUCCCACUCUCGACUUUGUGGGAUUAUGAGAUAUUUUAUUUGGUAUGACCGAACCAUAAGGCUACCUAUGUAUCUUGUGGUGACAUGAAUCAGGUCAAACGUAGUUCACACGACUACUUUUUGUUACUAUUUUCCUUUUUCUUUCUUCUUUUUUUUUUUAUUUUUUUUCUUUUUCCUUCCUUUUCUCUUUUUUUUCUUUUUCCCUUUUUCUUUUAAUCUCUAUUUUCUCUUCUUUUUUUUUUCCUUUUGGAAUAAACUUUUCUAAAAUAAACCUAUGGGGUCAUGAACUCUCUUUUUUUCGCAUGACUCUAACUUGAUUCCAAAAGAGGGGAGGUCAAAGAAAUUAGACAUAGGCUCAAAAGAGUAUCGAAUGGUAUAAGUGUUUGGGUAACUGAAAGAGGGCCUACCAAUCCCUGAAAAUGCCAAGUACAACACAUGCAACUUGAAAUGAAAAUUGAAGAUCAUGCACAAUAUUUUUUUUGUGGCUUCGGCAUUGAUAUCACUGAUAUGCUUUCCACACUUUUUUUAGUGCUUUGUCAAGUACAGAACCCUCGUUGGGUGAUUCCCCUUUCACAUUCGAUAUCCUCCGUCAAUUCGGAGAAAACUUCUUUGACUUUAUUUUGUAACUUGAGAUGCACUUGAACUCAAAGUUUCUGGCUUCAAAUUGUUGGGACACACUCUCUUGUAACAAAUUCUUGUCGUCCCAUUAACUUUCCAAACUAUCUGCCCCAGUUUCACAUGGUUCGGGCUUCAAAUGAUCUCAAACUGCCUUUACUUAUUUCCCCCAAAUGUCUCUAUCAUCUUCAAAAUUGAUUCAUUGCUUCAUGAUUAAACCAACUUUUAAGACAGGGCCUAGAAUUAUGCGUGCAUGUCAUGUCACUAGAGCCAGCAAGAAAAGAACUAUAAAAGGAAAAGAGAACUAAACAAAAAUGACUAGAACUAACAGAAAACAUGAAAUUGUAUUAGACAGAUAGUGAAAGACUUUGAACAACAAAAUAAGCAAAAUAAACUGGGGUACAACCCUGGAACAAACCUAGAUAACACUAAAUGAGCUACUACGACUAAACAAACUAGUCAAAAUAAAAGGAUAGAAGGGUUUGAGCCACAAGACAAUAUCCGGAUUACAACCCUAAAAUAAACUGGACAACACAAAUGACAACAGAAUAGACCACCAAGAUUCCUCCCUGGCUAACCAAGAAAGGAGAAUCUUUCCAAUAACCAAGCUCAGCAUCUUAGCCAUUGAGUUCCGCAUCAACAGUACUAGGACCUUCACAAGUCUCCAUCACAUUGACCUUAGCAAAUUGCUUUUGGGCCCCUUUUGCCAGCUCGUUCUUAAGAUCAACUUUCGGAACCGAGAGUGAUAACGCUGAAAGCUUUGCGGCAAGUGGCCCUCCAAGGAUCUCAGAAGAAUUCUUAUAUUCCUGUUCAAAACAGAUCAUACCCACCCUAGGCGUCUCAUUAUGAACAGGCAAUGGACUUUGGCUAGUAUCUGCUGCAUUUGGAUUUUGCACGGUAAUGUCACCUACAUCAAUAAGCUUCUGGACUGCUCCUUUCAUAUGCCAACACUUUUCUAUGUCAUGCCCCGGGGCAUUAGAGCAAUAUGCACACCUUUGAGAAAAAUCAAAAUUCUUUGGAAGAGAGUUUGGCAUUUUUAUCUGAAUCGGCUUCAACAUGUCCAAUUGCCUCAGCCUUUUGAACAGACUUGCAUAUGAUUCUUCAAUAGGAGUGAAAGACUUUUUCCUUUGCUUCUGCCUUCUCAUUUUGUACUCUGGCCUCGGUUGAAACCUUUUGCAGGUAGGUGGUUGAUAUGCUUGAGGAGGCGGGUAAGAUAUUUGCAGAAAUGGUGCAGGCCAUUGUAGGUCUCGUGGGUGUGGAGUAUAUGGUGGUGCACUGUGGAUAGGGUACUGGGAAGGUGAGUUAUUACUUUGGGGAUUUGUGGAGAGAAGUAGCAUUGGGGAGAAAUAUUUGGAGCACGAGGAUAUCCAUGGGGUCGAAUUGCGGCUGAAAGCGUUAAGCGCGAAUGCCCACUGGAUCCCGUCGUUGGCGGGGCUCAGCGACAUCUUUUCUAUCAAUGGGAGGACUGUCCCGAGCAACUUGUUCGUUCCAUCUGAACCAAAACUCCUUAAAACCUUCCUCCGGUUUCUUUUCCAUAUUAGAUUGCGAUGAGCGGUCUAGGGUAAUGCCUAUAUUGUAUUGAAAGUACCGAACAAAAUCUUGAUCCUUGUCAUGCCAUGUAGCCUACUUGCUGACAUCUUGACGUGUAUGCCAUUCCUAAGCUUCCCCAGUCAGGCUCUCACUGAAAUACGUCAUCAGCAACUCGUCCUUCCCGCCAACACUUCUCAUUUCACUCCAAUAACCCCUCAGAUGGGCUACCGGAUCUCUGCGCCCCUCAUACAAAUUAAACUUUGGCACUUUAAACCCCGCAGGUAGAUGAACAUCAGGGAACAUAUUAAUCUGAUUUCCCAUCCCUUGCAUGCUCCUUAAGGACUGUUCUAUACGUUUCAACUUCCUGGAUAGCUCAUCUUGCCCUUCUUUUCCUUAAACUUUUCAUUUUCAACAUGAGGCUCAUCCCGAGGGCUCUACUCGUAUGAGUCAGGAACCUUGUGGGAAACCUCUGAGGGGUAAUAUUGGGCAUCAUGGGCUUAGAGUGGAUGUUCAUUGUCGGAUCUAUAAAGGGAAGAUUGUUGAGAAGUUGUGAUCAUGGGGAUAGUGGAUAUGACAGGAGGACAAUUUUGGGGAGAGGUAAUUGGAGGAUGAGUGAUGGAGCUACUAGGGUAUUUGGGAAAGGUGUGAUAAGCGGAUGGAUCUGGAGAGUAUGGGAGAUCAUCUGGCACUAUGGCCGGAGUUUGGGUAAGGAUAACAUCUAAGAAGCUAGGUGGUGGCGGGGUGGUGCCUUCCCAGUCAUCAAAGCCUGAUACAUGUCCGCAAUGUGUUGUUUAACAUCCUUACCUCUUCAACCAACCCAUUGCCCUGUUCAACCAAUUGUUUUUGGGCACCAGUAUCAACCGACUCGAUUUCGUUGUCGUCUGCCAUUGCCUUUCGACCUUAUGUUGUAGAGAAGUGUUACCACUUUAUAGAACCACAAACCAACCACCUUUCUGCUAUGAAGAUGAAGUCAUCACGUUAGCGUUAGGACAUUUAACAUAAGAUAAUCUCACUUUAUGUGCAAUGCACCUAGCCACAGUUAUCGGUUCUAAAAUGACUUCGAGGGUGAGAAGGUCAUAUGGCAUCAUCCCAAUUUUGUUCAUUUCAAUCUUCUCUUUUCUUUUUUUUCUAGCACUUCUUAGCUCGCUCAUUUUUCUCCCGCCUUUUUUUUUCUAAUUAUCGCUCCUUUCUUUCCUCUCAUUUCUCAUAUCCCAUAAUUUUAUUUUUUUCUUUUUUUUUUCUUUUUCUUCUUUUUCUUUAAUAAUAAAAAAAAAUUCAAUCGAACCUUAUGUAGGUUGCCUACGUAUCAUGACGCCGCAUGAAUCAGAUCUUUGCGUAGUUGGGAAAAAUCGAGAAUAGACUAAAUAAACUAACGUUCUCUUUUUCUUUCUUGCUCUUUUUUUUACUUUAAUGACCAAUCCGAAGAGAAAAGAGAAAUAAAGGAAGCAAAAAAAAAAAUUUGAAUUUUCUAGGCUUAAUGUUCUAUAACUUAUUCUAAACUCAAGCUUAUGGAGAAAAUAUUUUUUUUUCUUUUUGAAACAAAAACUCUAUAGGAAAUUAUUAAGGAAAAACCUUACAAGAGAAAAACAUUUUUUGAUUCUUUUUUUAGGAAGGAAAUCUAAAUAAUAAACCAAAAAUAAUAUUUUGAAUUUUCAUUUGGUAUCCCUGAAGAAAGAUUUCGAAACGAGAAAUAAACAAGAUAAAAAAUAUUUUUGGGUUUCAGUUUUUGAUUACCUAAGGAGGAAACUUUAAAGAUAAACAAAAGAUAAAGUAUGUUUUUUUUCUUCUAUGUACAAUAUCCUAAAGUUUUAAUGAAAAUAAAAGAAUUUUUUUCUAUUCAUUUUUCAUUAAUUUCGCAAAGAAGAACCUUAAAAUAAAAUCUUUUUGGAUUUUUUGGAAUUAAUACCUUAAAGAAAACUUUUUUUAAAAAGGUACUAAAAGUUUUUUUUUGAAUUUUUAGUCCUAAUAUACUAAAGUAAAUAUAAAAACAAAUUUUUAUUUUAAGUUCUAGAUAUUAAUUGCCUUAAGGAAAAAUUACCUCAAAUGAUUUUUUUUCAAUUUCUAGGAGUAGUAUUUCUAAAGAAAUUCUAACGGAAAUAUAAAAACGCAAAAUAUCUUCUUCUUUUUUGAAUUUUUGAUUUAUAAUACAUUUUUCAAAUACAAAAUAGAAAAUAAUAACAAAAGACUAACAAACUUAACUAGACUAUGACAGACUCAAAAAUCAACUAAAUGAUUGAAUACUACUAUACAGGACUAGAAAGUAAAACAUGAACAAUAGACUCUAAAACAUAAAAAAAUUCCUCAGGCAGCUCCUGAAUGCAGUGGUCUUGGGGGUAUCUGUCAUGCUCAAACUCCGGUAAGUAGAUCCACACUUGUAUGAGAAAACUGAAACCAACACUAUGUGAGACAAUAACAUUCCAUACUAGACACAUGCAAGACAUGAUUGUGACUAUUUUUCUAAAAUUAACCUAUGUAGCUAAAAAUGCAAGAUUUGGCUAAGACCCCGCGAAGCCAAGAACCUAAACUCACUAGUGUCAGGACCCCAGUUCGCCCUCCGUGAACUGUCUUGACGGCACCUAGACUCUACGACUAGGUAAGCCUAAAUUUGCGGAAUAAAAACCAAAAUUUGCGGAAUUAAAAUAAUUUAAAACAGAAAUAAAGUAAUAAAAAUAUUCAAAAUGCGCAGCUCGGCAUACACCUUGUUUAACUCUCAAUACCAAUACGUAAAUCCAAGACCCGGAAACCCACGAAUCAAGAGCUAAGAGAAAUAUUAUAUAGCUCUAACUCCGGAAUGUCUAAUAAGAACAGAAAAAUACAUAAGGGCUAAAUACUGAAAGGUGGAAUAGAAAGGGACUUCUCGGUCUGCGGACACGACAGAUGUACCUCGAAGUCUCUAGAGCAGUCGCCUCCCUCAAGGGUGGUAGGCCUGAGUAGUGGUACCUAGAUCUGCACAUGAAAAACAUGUGCAGAAAGGGGCAUGAGUACACCACAACGGUACUCAGUAAGUGCCAAGCCUAACCUCGAUUGGGUAGUGAUGAGGAAGGUCAGGGACCUACUGAGAUAAAAUAAAGAAUAUAAGACAUGACAGUAUAAGAUAAGCAGUUCAGUUGAAAAUUAACGAUAAGAAUUUAAUACAGGAAAACACGGAAUUCAAUAACUGAAAAUAGAGGCAAAAACAUUCACAAGGAAAUAACCGGGGAUCUCUUAGUAUCCCGAGGAUCUCUUAGUACCCUCAAUAUAUACCAGAGAUCUUUUGGUAUCCCGAGGAUCUCUCGGUAUCCUCAAUGUAGGCUACGGAUAUCUUGGUAUCCCGAGGAUCAGCCCAAAUCGUAAAUGUGUACAGGGGAUCUCCCAGGAUGUCGUCCCGUAGUCCCAAAGUAAAACAGACAACAAUGGCACAAGGAAUACUCAAAUAAACUCAUCUUUAUAACAAGGUACACAGACAAUUCUAACCUAGCAUGCUUCACGUAAUACAAAUAAGGCAGUUAAAGCAAAUAAAGUAAUUAAGUCAAUUAGACAUGCUUCUCUAACUAACAACAGGUUUAAAGGUGCAAAUAAAAUAAAUAGAAAGGGAAAACACAAUUAAAGUUACUUAAUGAAAACUGGAUUUUCAACAAUUAGCACAAGUACGCACUCGUCACCUCACAUACAAGCCAUUUCAAUUAUCACAAUACAAAUCCUAAGGAGAAAGUCCCCCACACAAGGUUAGACAAUCCACUUACCUCAAACCGGCUCAAAAUCAACCCGAAACCAUGCUCUUGCCACGAGUGCUCGACUCCAAAUGGCCCAAAUCUAUUCAAUUCAAUUGCAUAAUGUAAAUAACACUUCAAGUAACUAAUUGUACAAUUAAAUUCUAAGCCAAUACGCGAAAUUAUGUAAAAUGACCAAAACGCCCCUCGGGCCCACGUCUCAGAAUCCCCAAACUCUCACGAGUUCAUGCAUACCAAUAUUACCAAAAUCGGACCUCAAAUGGUCCCUCAAAUCAUUACUCAAAGGUCUCCAAUACUAAGCCCUAGUUUUCCCAAAUUUUCACCCUUAAUUUCCAUGAUUUCUAGCUCAUAUCCGUGAUAUAAUAGCAUAGGAACGAGUUUUAGGUCCAAAUUCCUUACUUCAAUGAAGUUCCCUUGAAAUCCCUCUUUCAAAUCGUCCCAAAAGCUCCCAAGCCGUGAUAAAAAUGGUAUAAUAAACCCCAAAGUUGUGGAACCUCUUUUAAAAUAAUCUGCCUAAUAGUUUACGCAUCUACGGCCUUGGGACCGCUUCUGCGGUCCCACAUGUGCGGAAAAAGGGGUCGCAUCUACAACUUACACUUAAAGUCCAGUUUCCGCACCUGUGAUUUCCUAUCCGCAGGUGAGGUACCGUUCAGCGGUUAACUACCUGCAUCUGUGAAACCUGCUGCUUCUCCACAACUCCGCUUCUGCGAUCGCUGAGCCGAAUCUGCAACGGGUUCUAUAUGUGCGGUUAUGAUAGCACCAGCAGCUGAAGCUGCAACUUAAACUCCAAAAUUUCCUCUGUCAACCAUCUGAAUUAAUCCCGAGGCCCCCAGGACCCCAACCAAAGGCACCAACAAGUCACAAAACACUACCCAAACUUGUACCAAUCCUUAAAACACCUAAAAGAACAUCGAAACCUCGAAUUAACAAAGGAUUUAAGCCUAAGAACUCCAAACUUUCUCAAAAUAUGCUUUCGAUCAAAAAGUCUAGCAAAACCUCGUCCGAAAGACCUAAUAUUUUGCACACACGUCACAUUCCACACUACGGAGCUACUCCAACUUCCGGAAUUUCAUUCCGAUCCUCGGAUCAAAAUCUCACUAUUGGACCAGAAACUUCAAAAAUUCAACUUUCGACAUUUCAAACCUAAAUUAACUACGGACCUCCAAAAGACAAUCCGAACACGCCCCUAAGCCCGAAUUCACCUAACGGAGCUAACAGAACCAUCAAAUUUCCAUUCCAAUGUCGUCUUUAUACUAUUACGAUUGCGAUCAACUUUCCAACACUUAAGCUCUCAUUUAGGGACUAAGUGUCCCAAAACUCCCCGAAACUCAAAAAUUGAACAUCCCGGUGAAUCAAAUAGUAGAAAUAAACUCGAAAAAAGCAGUUAAUAGGGGAUCGGGACGUAAAUUCUUAAGAUGACCAUCCGGGUCGUCACAUCCUCCUAGACUUAAACAUUUGUUCGUCCUCAAAUGAGCAUAAAGACAUACCUGAAGUAGUGAAAAGAUGAAGGUAACAUUUGCGCAUAUUCUGCUCGGUCUCCUAGGUCGCCUCCUUGACCGGCUGACCCCGCCACUGAACCUUUACCGAUGCAAUGUUCUUUGACCUCAGUUUUCUAACCUGUCUGUCCAAUAUUGCCACUAGUUCCUUAACAUAAGAUAGAUCCUUGUUCAACUGGUAUCCCGAGGAUCUCUCUGUAUUCUCAAUGUAUGCUAGGGAUUUCUUGGUAUCCCGAGGAUCUCUCGGUAUCCUCAAUAUAGGCUAGGGAUCUCUUGGUAUCCCGAGGAUCUCUUGGU
rnacentral:lncRNA from 1 species